ensembl:lncRNA
GGCAGGAUGAAUGUUAUCCCUCGGUCCAACCCACUUUCAGCCUGGCCCAUUAGGGGGCGCUGGUAUAAAUAGUGGCCAUUUGAGUGUCUCUGCAUUGCUUGCCUGUGAUCUCCUUUUUGGUCACCUGACUUCCUCGGUGUGGUGGAGAUCGUUUGUGGGUUACUCCUCUAAAGUCUCCAUCGCGGCUGGUUGUAGCUAUAGAAGCCUCCUCUGAGCUAUUCUGCUUACGUUCUGUGACACGGCUUACUUGGAAGUGUGGGCCUUUUGCGCCAAGCUACGUGAACUGAAGUGCUGCUGUUUUGCCUUGCUGUGCUUUUACCGUCUGUUCCCGUUGUGAGAAUUCUUCCCUGCUGCUGUCAGCUUUUACAGUGGACGUCGGCGUGGACAACGGCCAUAUGCAUGCCGGUUAUCGGAGUCAGCUGGCGUGCAUAUUAAUUGACUGUUAACUUAUCGUCGUGUGGACGAUGCGGAGUGCCGACGUGGAGGAGACUAGGGUGCCUUGGUGGUGGGAUCCCUUGAGUGUACACACCUGCCUUGUUUAGUUUAUUAGUGUGUGUGUGAUAGUGUGUUGCACUUGUGUUUUGGGUGUGUUUUCUUUCUUUAGUUUGUGUGUGGCAUCCCUGCCCCUCCACUGGUAAGCCUCAGCUCUGAAUACCUUUUUAAGCAUAUUUGUAUUUGAAUAUUUAUGAUUGUGCUUUUAUAUGGUGUUUUAAAUAAUUAUUAAUAAAUUGUGAAUUUGUUGAUCAUUGAACCUCGUCUCUGGACUGAGUAUAGCGAACCUAAGUGCCUUUCUGGUGAUUUAGUGUUACUUUCAGUAUUCUCUGGGUGAAAUUCCCAGGGUGGCGUUGUCUUUUUAAAACUGCAAAGAGUAUUUACUUUAUACCCC